UGUGUGUGUGUGUAUGUGUGUGUGAGACUCUGACUCAGUCUGUUUGUGCUGCUAAAUGCUGCCCUGGUGGCUCCACUGGAAAACACAACCUAACACUGAUAAACUUCAUCUGUUUUCCACACACAGCCACCUGGAUGUGCAUUACAUAAACACUCACAUUAACAGUCAUAACUCUGAAGUGAGUCUGUAGUUGUAAGAAGUUUGUCUAGUUAUGGAUUUGCUUCUAUCACUUUAUGUGACCAAUGUUGUGGGUCUGCACUUGGUUUUUAAGUUUGUUUUGCAGGUCUGUAGUUGUGGGUGUGUUGUUUUGGAGUUCUGUUCUUCUGAACUUUUGAAUCUGUAUUUGUAGAUGUGUAGUAGCCACAUAAUUGCUGUAGUUGUGGGUCUGUAGCUCUUUUGGUUGGUAUUUGUGGUUGUGUAGUUGCUGCCUAUUCCUGUGACUCUGUAGUUGUGGGUCUGUGGUUAUUUGGCUCUGUAGUCCUGUAGAUCUGUGGGUAUGUGGCUUUGCAGUUCUGUGGGUCUGUGGCUUUGUGGUCUUGUACUUCUGUGGGCCUGUAGUUCUUUAGGUUGUUAGUUGUGGUUGUGUAGUUGCUGCAUAGUUCUGUGGCUCUGUACUUGUGGGUUUGCAGUUGUAUGUCUGUAGUCCUGUGGCUCUGUAGUUGUGGCUCCGUAGUCCCAUGGCUCUGUAGUCUCAUGAAUCUGUAGUCCUGUAGUCCCAUGGCUCUAUAGUCCUGUGGCUCUGUAGUUGUGACUCUAUAGUCCUGUGGACCUGUAGUCCCUCCCAUGGCUCUUUAGUCCUGUACUCCUGUGGCUCUGUAAUUCUGUACUCCUGUGGCUCUGUAAUUGUGGUUCUGUAGUCCUGUAGUCCCAUGGCUUUAUAGUCCUGUAGUCCCGUGGCUCUAUAAUCCUGUAGUCCCAUGGCUCUGUAGUCCUGUAGCUCUGUAAUUGUGGCUCUGUAGACCUUUAGUCCCAUGAUCCUAUAGUCCUGUAGUCCCAUGGCUUUGUAGUCCUGUGGCUCUGUAGUUCUGUAGUCCCAUGGCUCUGUAGUCCUGUUGACCUGUGGCUCUAUAGUUCUGUAGUCCCGUUGACCUGUGGCUCCAUAGUUCUGUAGUCCCAUGGCUCUGUAGUCCCGUUGACCUGUGGCUCUAUAGUUCUGUAGUCACGUUGACCUGUGGCUUUAUAGUCUUGUAAUUUUGUGGCUCUAUAGUCCUGUAGUCCCAUGGCUCUAUAGUCCUGUAGUCCCAUGGCUCUGUAGUCCUGUAGUCCCAUGGCUCUAUACUCCUGUAGUCCCAUGGCUCUGUAGUCCUGUAGUUCCGUGGCUCUGUAAUUGUGGCUCUUUAGUCCUGUAGUCCCAUGGGUCUAUAGUCCUGUAGUCCCAUGGCUUUGUAGUCCCGUGGCUAUGUAGUCCUGUGUCUCUGUAGAGUCCCUGGAGCAGAGAGAGGGUUAGGGCCUUGCUCAAGGGCCCAACUGUGGGAGCUUGGUGGCCACUGUUAAUUUGAACCCCCGACCUUCUGAUCAAUAACCCAGAGACUUAACCACCACCCUAGUUCAGUGGUUCUGUAGUUCUGUGGGUUCUCUUGGGUAGUUCAGUAUUUACGGGUCUGUAUUUGUAGGUACAUAGUUGCUGUGUAAUUCUCUGAGUCUGCAGUUGCUAUGCUUCUGAAGGAUAUGUAAUUAUGUUUGGAGUCUGUAAGUUUGUUUUGGGUUCUGUAGUUGUGUAUUUCUGUGAAUAUGUGGUUAGGAGUGCAGUUGUUGUGUGGUACUGUGAUUCUGUAGUUACUGAGUAGUUGUGUGGGCUUGUAACUGUGAGUCUACAGUUGUGUAGUUUUUGAGUGUAUUGGAUAUGCUCAUAAUUAUUUUUAGGCCAGCUUUGCAGCUGUGGUUCUGUAAUGCAGUGAGUCUACAGAUGUGUGGAGAUGUUUUUAGAGGAUUUUGAGAGCGCUACCUAAUGUGCUGUUAUGUGUGUGUGUGUGUGUGUGUGUGUGUGUGUGUGUGUGUGUGUACUCAGUGGAAGGUGUGAGGUGAAUCAGUGGGUGUAGGAGGUGCUGAAUCGCUCACAUGGCUAGCGGUCAUGGACUGUCUUCACACACACACACACACACACACACACACACACACACACACACACACACACACACACAUCAGAGGCUGAUUUACAUCUUAUUUUUUAGCUCUUGUUUUGUGUCCUCUAUGUGCCCUUUGGUAAAGUCUUCAUCACUGUUGGUUGUUGAGCGCAGCAUGUAGUAUAAUGAAGAGAAACAUAUUCAAAUGUGUCCUCAAGUGUUCUUAAUUUGUUACUGAGCAGAGAUGAGGCUGCAGAUUAUUAAACAGCUGAUUUAACUGGGUACAGUUGACUACCUGAUCUUAUCCUCUGUCACCUAAAGCUUAUAUGAUGUGGAGCAUCUGUAGGUGGUGCAUACAUCAUGUCUGUAGUUGUGGGUUCUAGUCUGUCUGUAGUUCAGUGGGGUCAGUGGUAACAUGACGAUUAAGGCUCUGGGUUACUGGUUGGAAGGUUGGGGGUUCAAGCCCCAGCACUGCCAAGCUGUCACUGUUGGGCCCUUGAGCAAGGCCCUUAACCCUCUUUGCUACAAAGGGGUGCUGUAUCAUGGCUGACCCUGCACUCUGACCCCAACCUCCUAACACGCUCAGGUAUGCGAAGAAAAAGAAUUUCACUGUGCUGUAAUGUAUGUGUGACCAAUAAAGACUCAUUAUCAUUAUGUUGUUCUCUGUUUGAAGUUGCCCUGUGGGUCUGUAGUUGGUGUGUAGUUUGUUAGAUAUAUGGUUAGUCUGUACUUGUUGGGUUUUUUAGUUCUGUAGUUAGUGUGUAAUUGUUUUGAUGUAUAGUUGUGGGUCUGGCAUGCAUUGGCAUAUAUUUCUUUAAGUAUUUGUAUUUGUGAAUCAGUAGUUGGUCUGUGGGUCAGCAGUUAGUGUUUAAUUGUGGGUCUUAUGGCAGUGCUGAUUGUGGAGGGGAUAAUACCCACUUUCUGUAUCAAGGAUGACACCUUACGGGCCACUGGCUUAUAUAGACAGUGUAGCUAGUUACAUGCUAGAUAGAUGUCAAGAUGAAACAGGACAGAGAGCAUGUAGAACCCAGUGUGUGUCUGGGUGUGAAGGAUGAUUCAGAAAGGAGACAGGUGAACUUUACUCAGAGAUUCAGGCUCCCUUUAUUGUUCUUUUUUCCCACAGUGUUCUUUUUCUUCAUCGCACAUACCCAUAAACUAAAACUUCAGUGCAGGAGCAUGGUAGGGAGCAGACUCCGCUCGGUCUCGGUCUCACUGUCGUCUAUGGUGUUUCUGCAAAAAUAAACAAAGCACAUCUACUGAUGAUAACUCCCUGUUUUUCCAGUUUGGACCAUCCAUUGAGCAGCAGGCCUCAGUGAUGUUGAACAUUAUGGAGGAAUAUGACUGGUACAUUUUCUCCAUUGUCACCACCUACUACCCCGGAUACCAGGACUUUGUCAC
ensembl:lncRNA